UAGGGAAUCUUCCACAAUGGACGCAAGUCUGAUGGAGCAACGCCGCGUGAGUGAAGAAGGCUUUCGGGUCGUAAAACUCUGUUAUUGAAGAAGAACGUGUGUGACAGUAACUGGUCAUGCAGUGACGGUAUUCAAUCAGAAAGUCACGGCUAACUACGUGCCAGCAGCCGCGGUAAUACGUAGGUGGCAAGCGUUGUCCGGAUUUAUUGGGCGUAAAGCGAGUGCAGGCGGUCUUUUAAGUCNGAUGUGAAAUGCCUUCGGCUUAACC
rnacentral:rRNA from 1 species